rnacentral:rRNA from 1 species
UCGGGAAUUUUGGGCAAUGGGCGAAAGCCUGACCCAGCAACGCCGCGUGAAGGAUGAAGUAUUUCGGUAUGUAAACUUCGAAAGAAUAGGAAGAAUAAAUGACGGUACUAUUUAUAAGGUCCGGCUAACUACGUGCCAGCAGCCGCGGUAAUACGUAGGGACCAAGCGUUGUUCGGAUUUACUGGGCGUAAAGGGCGCGUAGGCGGCAAUUCAAGUCAUCUGUGAAAUCUCCGGGCUUAACUCGGAACGGUCAGAUGAUACUGCUUUGCUAGAGUGCAGAAGGGGCAAUCGGAAUUCUUGGUGUAGCGGUGAAAUGCGUAGAUAUCAAGAGGAACACCUGAGGUGAAGACGGGUUGCUGGGCUGACACUGACGCUGAGGCGCGAAA